GUGCUUACUUCGACAGCACAUAUAUUACAAUUGGAAUGAUAUAGAGAAGACUAGCCUGGCCCCUGUGCAAGGAUGACGUGCAAAUUUGUGAAGUGUUCCAUAUUAAA
ensembl:snRNA U6 U6 spliceosomal RNA